rnacentral:rRNA from 1 species
CCUACGGGAGGCAGCAGUGGGGAAUCUUAGACAAUGGGGGAAACCCUGAUCUAGCCAUGCCGCGUGAGUGACGAAGGCCCUAGGGUCGUAAAGCUCUUUCGCCAGGGAUGAUAAUGACAGUACCUGGUAAAGAAACCCCGGCUAACUCCGUGCCAGCAGCCGCGGUAAUACGGAGGGGGUUAGCGUUGUUCGGAAUUACUGGGCGUAAAGCGUACGUAGGCGGACUUUUAAGUUAGAGGUGAAAUCCCAGGGCUCAACCCUGGAACUGCCUUUAAUACUGGGAGUCUUGAGUUCGAGAGAGGUGAGUGGAAUUCCAAGUGUAGAGGUGAAAUUCGUAGAUAUUUGGAGGAACACCAGUGGCGAAGGCGGCUCACUGGCUCGAUACUGACGCUGAGGUACGAAAGUGUGGGGAGCAAACAGGAUUAGAUACCCUGGUAGUCCACACCGUAAACGAUGAAUGCCAGUCGUCGGGAUGCUUGCAUCUCGGUGACACACCUAACGGAUUAAGCAUUCCGCCUGGGGAGUACGGUCGCAAGAUUAAAACUCAAAGGAAUUGACGGGG